CAACAACCUAUAUUAUUACCCGAUACCCACCAAACUGUCCAAAACAAUGAGGGGGAAAAAGUGGGACAUGAUUUACAUUUGAAUAUCUACAUAAUUUUUGCUUCGAAAUGUGGGGGAAAAAGUGAGCUUAUCAUAUUUUUUGCUUCAACAAAUCAUUAUUUUUGACCCAACAACAAGAAUAUCUAAGAACAAAAUGCAAUAAACUAAAAUAAAUUAGCACAUCAAUAGCAUUACAAAUGAAAAUCAAAAAUAUGUUCCACCAGUUG
rnacentral:misc_RNA from 1 species